CCCAGGCAGAGGGAAACAAGAGCUAGACUACCUGCUCGUGAUCCCAGGAGGCUAAUGGAACAGUGAUGUAUCGCGGUUCCUGCCUCGUGAAUUUGGAAGCAGGAUUCUGCUCCUAGGCUCUUGAUGAAGAAAUAUUUAACAUCAGAGUAAGUGUUCUAGAGAUUAAUGGCUGCUGUUUGGCAAGGUCCAUAGACGUCCUUUCCUGCCAAUACAAAUAUAUACAUUGUUGAAGCACAAGACUAUAUCCACAGAUAGGAUUACAUGUUAACUGAAAAGAUUCAAGGAAGAGAAGAUGGGCCAUCAAUGAAAAAUGGUGGUUACAAUGAAGCAACUGAUUUCACAGCUAAGGCGAGAGCACUGCACUUCCUCCUCAUGCUUUCUGGUUGUUAAACUCCCACUAAGAAGCAUGAAAAAGAGCAAGAUGCACUUGAGGAGAUAAAGCAGACCUUUGAAGGGAAACCAAACAUCAGUUCAAGUUGUAACUUAGAGACCAGAAAAGAUAUUCCAAGUUUUUGUGAAG
rnacentral:lncRNA from 1 species